UUGGCGGACGGGUGGAGUAACGACGUGGAAGACCUGCCGUAUACUGGGGGAUAACACUUAGAAAUAGGUGCUAAUACCGCAUAAGCGCACAGCUUCGCAUGAAGCGGUGUGAAAAACUCUGGUGGUAUACGAUGGUUCCGCGUCUGAUUAGCUAGUUGGUGGGGUAAUGGCCUACCAAGGCAACGAUCAGUAGCCGGCCUGAGAGGGUGAACGGCCACAUUGGGACUGAGACACGGCCCAAACUCCUACGGGAGGCAGCAG
rnacentral:rRNA from 1 species